rnacentral:rRNA from 1 species
GACGAACGCUGGCGGCGUGCUUAACACAUGCAAGUCGAACGGAAAGGCCCUGCUUUUGUGGGGUGCUCGAGUGGCGAACGGGUGAGUAACACGUGAGUAACCUGCCCUUGACUUUGGGAUAACUUCAGGAAACUGGGGCUAAUACCGGAUAGGAGCUCCUGCUGCAUGGUGGGGGUUGGAAAGUUUCGGCGGUUGGGGAUGGACUCGGGGCUUAUCAGCUUGUUGGUGGGGUAGUGGCUUACCAAGGCUUUGACGGGUAGUCGGCCUGGGAGGGUGACCGGCCACAUGGGGACUGAGAGACGGACCAGACUCCUACGGGAGGCAGCAGUGGGGAAUAUUGCACAAUGGGCGGAAGCCUGAUGAAGCAACGCCGCGUGCGGGAUGACGGCCUUCGGGUUGUAAACCGCUUUAGCCUGUGACGAAGCGUGAGUGACGGUAAUGGGUAAAGAAGCACCGGCUAACUACGUG